rnacentral:misc_RNA from 1 species
GGAAGUAAAGGUCGUAACAAGGUCUCCGUUGGUGAACCAGCGGAGGGAUCAUUAUCGAGUUUAUAACUCCCAAACCCUAUGUGAACUUACCACUUGUUGCUUCGGCGCGCGCUUCGGUGCCGCCGAGGACACUUAAACUCUUUGUUUUUAUAAGCAUUUCUGAGUGGCCGAAAGGCAAAAUACAAAUGAAUCAAAACUUUCAACAACGGAUCUCUUGGUUCUG